rnacentral:lncRNA from 1 species
GGAGAAAGACGGACAAUAGGACGGUCAUCCCAUUCUAUGGAAAAACUAAGACGAGGCGGGAUAGCAAGGCAUCCAUUCUAUGGAAAAACCGGAACACCCCCGUCCCAAGGGAUUUAAAACCUUGCAUGGGGCACCAUAUGAGCUGUUCAUUAUUAAGCAAUGUUGGACCACAUUGACAAAUGCCAAUCCGACACAAGUUGAUAUAGCUACAUAUAACUCAGAAUCAAGCCAAAAGGGCUCUUAAGUCUCUCCCUCUGUGGUUUUGGCAUGACAAGUGUUGGCACAGCAUGACGACACACAUUCUAGUGAUACUUAAAAUCCUUGGCGGGUACCUAGCAGUUGAUGCUAAAAGAAUUAAAAAAUCAGAAAAUAGAUAGUAAAGAGAAAAUUAGAAACAUAUCAUUAGAAUUUCA